rnacentral:rRNA from 1 species
AUACGUAGGGUGCAAGCGUUAAUCGGAAUUACUGGGCGUAAAGCGUGCGCAGGCGGUUUUGUAAGACAGUGGUGAAAUCCCCGGGCUCAACCUGGGAACUGCCAUUGUGACUGCAAGGCUGGAGUGCGGCAGAGGGGGAUGGAAUUCCGCGUGUAGCAGGGAAAUGCGUAGAUAUGCGGAGGAACACCGAUGGCGAAGGCAAUCCCCUGGGCCUGCACUGACGCUCAUGCACGAAAGCGUGGGGAGCAAACAGGAUUAGAUACCCUGGUAGUCCACGCCCUAAACAAUGUCAACUGGUUGUUGGGAAUUUAUUUUCUCAGUAACGAAGCUAACGCGUGAAGUUGACCGCCUGGGGAGUACGGCCGCAAGGUUAAAACUCAAAGGAAUUGACGGGG